AAUUCCCACAUUUCAUGGGUGUGAGCUGAAAAAAAGACUUGAAGCUAACAUUCCUCUGCUGUCCCACUACAACACAGAAGACUUCUGUGACCCCAGAAUAUGUGGGGGUUUCUCCCCAUCGGCAAACAAGCUAUCAGUUCUGCAGCAGGCACCAGCGGGGUGUCCUCCAGCUUGAUUCUGACACCGUCUACCUGGAGGUAAAAGUAAAGAAGCAGAAAUAAAAAGGAUAAACAAGGAACUGGCAAAUAUCAGAUCAAAAUUUAAAGGUGACAAGGCUCUUGAUGGCUAUAGUAAAAAAAAGUACGUCUGCAAGUUGCUCUUCAUCUUUCUC
rnacentral:misc_RNA from 1 species